CCUAGGGCAGUAGCAGAGCUUGCUCCCUCAAUGCCACAGCAAUGUCACCACACUCCACUUGCCAACCCUGCUAGCUGCUGGCUGGACAUCCCAGCCCAUGAAACCCCUGGCUUAUUCCUGGAGAACACAAGUGAAAUAAUGGAGAUGCAGUGCCCAAGACCCACAGUCUGGGAGCAAAGGCCCAGGCAUCUCUCCUUGAGAGAGAUUUCAUGGACCAAACUGUUCAGUGGAAAAAGUUUGGGAAAUAAUAGCUUUGAAGUCAAUGGGAUUGAUUUACACCAUCCUGUGGCCUUACUUCUAACCCAAACAUCACAAAAAAUAGCUACCUAGAGGGUCCGAGCUCUUUUUUUAAAAGGCUGAUCAACUGUUAUUACUGGAAAAAGCAAACAAAGGCUCAAGGGCACAAGGACAUCUUCGGCCUUCUAGGUCUGAAACCUUUCUUUCAUUUCUCUCAUUUUUUCCAAUAAAUAAUUCCAAUGUCUGAAACAUUAAAAAUAUAAAACAUUUAAAUAAUAACACUUUAGCUGUAAAUAAAAUUAUGUAUGGUGUGCAUGGCAUAUGCAGUAUGUAAUCUAUUAUAAUAGAAUAUAUAGAAUAUUUAUGAAUAUGGAAUUAAAUUAUAAACACAAAAUAUUAUUUAAAUUUAUAUUAUUAGAAAAGAAACAUUCUUUAAAAAAAUAUAUACAAAAAUAGUCCCCACGUUAAAACUUUUCUCUCUGCACCAAAAUGCUUUGAAAACUCUGGGGUCCGAAGCUGAGGAGUGUCCAUCAACAAUCUCCUUUGAAGCUGCUGAGAACAGAGGACACUUGAAUCCUGGUGUCUGUGUGGAGGAAAGUGUGCCAUAGAGGCUUCAAAAGAGAAGGACCUCGCUGAAGAUGACUCCACCAGCACACAAUCCACCAAUCCAUCACCUCCCAGAAUCCCACAUGAGAAGGGUUUCUGAUCCAGGGGCACCAUGGUAAUGCUUUCUCCACUGAGAACUGUGAAUCCCAAAUUUCUCCCUCAUGGACAAGCAUGAGAAUGCGCAGAAACCCAGGCUAGGACACAGCAAACGAAGGGUAGCACAAUGACUGCACACCAUAACUUCAAAGGGAUCUCAUGGGGCUGAACCACUGCGAGAGGAGCACCCAAGUCCAUGGAUGGUGAAAAUGUCCAAGGACAGGGAAUGCAGGAGCCUGAGCAGAGAACUGGAGGAGGAGGGGAUCUGCAGCAGAUAUUCACAGACAGUCAGCAAAGGAAAGCAGCAGCUUAGGAGAUUGCAUCUCUCCAGGAGCCUGCAGGAGCCAGCUGCCAAAGACAGCCCCACAGAGCCGGAACUGGCCUUUGGGUAGAGCAGGUGUUUUGAUUUGGGGUCCACGACAGCCAGGACACAACUAAGCUGAAUCUGAAUGUAAUAAGCUUGUAAAAUACAGAGCAAGGACACUGGAAGUGUAAGUGCUGAAGGACAAGUCCCAGUCCUUCCUACUGAAUCACCCUGCGAAAGCGUGGGUCCCUCACACCCUCCCAGUCUGCAGAACUCCCAGUUACUGGGAUCUCAGGGAUUGUUUUUGUGGAAGGUCAAGGGCACCAGCUACGCAGAUCAUUUGGGCCCCAAACCUGAACAUUCUCUGUGUCAUACAAAGGACAUGGUUCAACACCUUGGUGAGGACAAAUCGAUAGAGAUUGGUGGCAACAGUAAUGAGGGGUGGAUUUGGGGUCUCUAACAUAGGACAAAAAGUCAGCAGUCAUGCAAAUGCCAAUGAGCUGGGUGAGUCUAAAGGAAGAGGGGUUGUUGUAGUCACCCUGUUUUGGGGAGGGACAAGGUUCCAAGGCCUUGGGGAUGUCUUUACCCCUCUCUGUAAUGGGCUGUCACAUAAUUUUUUAAAAUUAUUUAUCCUUGAAAGAUUGACCAUUUUAGCCCUCAAUUCUUUAAAACAGACGGGAAGACUGUGGCAGUGUC